UAUGUCAUUUUCUUGCCAAUCACCGAUGAAAUCAACAAUUUCAAAGGGAGACUAACUUAGCCCUGGCAUUUCUAAAAUGAACAGUGACAGCAGUCGAGCAUCUGGCCAGAUCUGGAAAUAUGAUGUGUUUCUCAGCUUCAGGGAUGAGGACACGGGCCUCAAUUUUACCGAUCAUCUUUUGGCUGCUCUAAGAAGAAAGGGCAUAUUUACCUUCAUUGAUAGAGAGCAGACAUACACCAUAAAAGCAAUUGAGGAAUCCCAUAUUUCUAUCAUUAUCCUUUCCAAAAACUAUGCCAACUCACCAUGGUGUUUGGAGGAACUAGUAAAGAUCAUGGAGUGCCGAUGUUGUAAUGGGCAAACUGUUCUGCCAGUAUUUUAUGACGUGGAUCCAAGUGAUGUAAGAUAUCAAAGAUGGGUUUACAAGGAAGCCUUUGAAAAACAUGAAGAAAGGUUCAAAGACGAUUUAGCCAAGAUAUAGAGGUGGAGGCAGAGCUUGAGGCAAGCAGCCAGUAUGACUGGUUGGAUACCGAGGGAUCGGUCAGAGGCAGAUGUCAUUGAUAGCAUAGUUAAAAGGACCAUAAACAUAUUGAGUCAUAAAUCCUUAAGUGUGGCAGAUGACCUAGUUGGGAUUCAAUCCCGAUUAGAGGGAUUCAACUGCCUUCUGGGUUUAAGAUCUGAUGCUGUUCGAGUUGUAGGCAUUUGUGGGAUGCAUGGAAUAGGCAAGAUGGCUCUUGUUUUAGUCAUGUAUCAUAAAAUCUUUGACCAAUUCGAAGCCUGUUGUUUCCUUCCCAACGUAAGUUAAUUUUCCAGAAGUGAUGGUCUAACCGCUCUACAAGAGCAAUUUCUUCGUGCGACACUCAAGUGGAAAGAAGUAGAGAUAUGCAGUGUUUACGAGGGAUGUGAUUAGAUACAGAGGACGCUAAAUGAUUGCAAGACUCUCUUGAUUCUUGAUAACGUUGAUGACUUGGAACAAUUAAAAAUUUUGGCUGGAAAGUGUACAUGGUUCAGGGAAGGGAGUCUAGUCAUUAUAAUAACAAGAGACGAGCAUAUCUUUAAAAGGUUUGAAGUGGAUGGAAUUAUUAAAUAAGGACGAGGCUCUUCAACUUUUUUGCAAGUGUGCCUUCAGAUGUGAUUCCCCCUUAGAAGGUUAUGAGGAGCUGACUAAUAAUAUAUUGGAAUAUGCCAAAGGUCUCCCGUUAGCAGUUAAAUCAUUGGGGUCAUUCCUGGUUGACCGAAGUGUCUCAGAAUGGAAGAGUGUAUUGGCUAAAUUGCAAUUAGUUCCUAAACAUUCCAUAAUGAAGGUGCUCAGAUAAAGUUUUGAUGGAUUUCCCCAUGACAUUGAAGAGGGAAUUUUCUUGGAUAUUGCACGUUUUCUUGUUGGGGAGAAGAUUAAUUAUUUAAAAGAAAUUCCAAGGCAUCAUCAAUACUAUCCCAUGUUUGGGAACAAAAUUUUAAUUGACAAAUCACUCCUGACCAUAUCAGAUCAGAAAAUUCACAUGAAAGAUAUGCCGGGAGAAAUUUUUCGGUAAGAAACCAUUGAAGAUCGAGGACGGAGAAGUAGGUUGUGGUUUUAUGACGAUUUUCGUCACUCGAUGGAAACAAACAAAGUAACUGCAAAUACUGAAGCUGUUAUCUUGAACCAGGAAGAUGCAGAAGCGGUUCCAUUGAAUGCUAGUUUGUUUUCGAAAAUGAUCAACCUGAAAUUGCUCAUAAUUUGAAAUGUGAAUUUUGUUAGUACUCUUGAAUAUUUUCGGAUGAGUUAGUUUACCUUUCUUGGCAUAAAUAUCCUUUCACUCAUAUACCAUCAAAUUUUGAACCAUAUCAACUGGUAGAAUUGAUCAUGACUGAUAGCAACAUCACGCAACUGUGGGAAGGAAUGAAGAUGCUCCCGAAACUAAGAAGCAUGAGCUUCCGUGGUUCUAAAAAUCUAAUUAAGACGCCGGACUUUCGGGGAAUAUUAAAUCUGGAGAUGUUAGAUCUUGAAGAAUGUACGGGAUUAUUGCAAGUUGAUCCAUCUAUUGAAAUUCUUUCAAAGCUCGCAUUCUUAAAUUUGAAGAAUUGCGCAAGUCUUGUCAGCAUCCCAAACAAUUUAGCUAGAAUGAGUUCUCUAAAAACCCUGAAGUUGGAUGGCUGCUCAACGCAAGUGAAACUACUUAGCAAUCAACAUUGCCCAUUCUUCGUGAAAAUGUUCUGUUAUCUCAUCAUAUCAUUCCUGAUAUUCAUAAAGAAUAAUAAGUUGGUAUUUUGUAGUCUUAUUUGCUGUAUUUACUGCAUUUUCCUCAGUAUGUAAGGUAAUAUACGUUUUUGAGGACCUGUAUCCUUUAUCAGAGCAUUAUUGUAGCUA